GAUGAACGCUGGCGGCGUGCCUAAUACAUGCAAGUCGAGCGAACAGACGAGGAGCUUGCUCCUCUGACGUUAGCGGCGGACGGGUGAGUAACACGUGUAUAACCUACCUAUAAGACUGGGAUAACUUCGGGAAACCGGAGCUAAUACCGGAUAAUAUAUUGAACCGCAUGGUUCAAUAGUGAAAGACGGCUUUGCUGUCACUUAUAGAUGGAUCCGCGCCGCAUUAGCUAGUUGGUAAGGUAACGGCUUACCAAGGCAACGAUGCGUAGCCGACCUGAGAGGGUGGUAGGCCACACUGGAGCUGAGACACGGUCCAGACUCCUGCGGGAGGCAGCAGUAGGGAAUCUUCCGCAAUGGGCGAGAGCCUGACGGAGCAACGGCGCGUGAGUGAUGAAGGUCUUCGGAGCGUGAAACUCUGUUAUGAGGGGAGAACAGAUGUGUAAGUAACUAUGGACGUCUUGACGGUACCUGGUCAGAAAGCCACGGCUAACUACGUG
rnacentral:rRNA from 1 species